AGAGUUUGAUCCUGGCUCAGAGCGAACGUUAGCGGCGCGCCUAACACAUGCAAGUCGAGCGAGAAAGGGAGCAAUCCUGAGUAGAGCGGCGCACGGGUGCGUAACACGUAGAUAAUCUGCCCUUUGGCGGGGGAUAACGUUCCGAAAGGAGCGCUAAUACCGCAUACAGCGCGAGAUGGUUCGCCAUUUUGCGGCAAAGGUUGGGACCCGCAAGGGCCAAUCGCCAAAGGAGGAGUCUGCGGCCCAUCAGCUAGUUGGCAAGGUAAUGGCUUACCAAGGCAAAGACGGGUAGCUGGUCUGAGAGGAUGAUCAGCCACACUGGUACUGGAACACGGACCAGACUCCUACGGGAGGCAGCAGUGGGGAAUCUUGGUCAAUGGGCGCAAGCCUGAACCAGCGACGCCGCGUGAGUGAUGAAGGCCUUCGGGUUGUAAAGCUCUGUGGGGAGGGACGAAAGAGCUCAGUCGAAUAGGCUGAGCAGUUGACGGUACCUCCUUAGCAAGCACCGGCUAACUCUGUGCCAGCAGCCGCGGUAAGACAGAGGGUGCAAACGUUGCUCGGAAUUACUGGGCGUAAAGCGCGUGUAGGCGGGCUUGCAAGUCAGAUGUGAAAUCCCCGGGCUCAACCCGGGAACUGCAUUUGAAACUGCAAGCCUUGAGUAUCGGAGAGGAAAGCGGAAUUCCUGGUGUAGAGGUGAAAUUCGUAGAUAUCAGGAGGAACACCGGUGGCGAAGGCGGCUUUCUGGACGAUAACUGACGCUGAGACGCGAAAGCGUGGGGAGCAAACAGGAUUAGAUACCCUGGUAGUCCACGCUGUAAACGAUGAACACUAGGUGUCGUGGGUAUUGACCCCCGCGGUGCCGUAGCUAACGCAUUAAGUGUUCCGCCUGGGAAGUACGGUCGCAAGACUAAAACUCAAAGGAAUUGACGGGGGCCCGCACAAGCGGUGGAGCAUGUGGUUUAAUUCGACGCAACGCGAAGAACCUUACCAAGGCUUGACAUGUAUCUGCAUAUCCUGUGAAAGCAGGGUAGCCUUCGAGGGUGAUACACAGGUGCUGCAUGGCUGUCGUCAGUUCGUGCCGUGAGGUGUUGGGUUAAGUCCCGCAACGAACGCAACCCCUGUGCUCAUUUGCCACCGCCGGUGAUGAAUCGGCGAGCACUAUGAGCAGACUGCCCGUACAAGCGGGAGGAAGGUGGGGAUGACGUCAAGUCAGUAUGGCCUUUAUGCCUUGGGCUGCACACGUGCUACAAUGACCGGUACAGAGGGAAGCAAUACCGCGAGGUGGAGCUAAUCCCAAAAACCGGCCUCAGUUCAGAUUGUAGGCUGCAACUCGCCUACAUGAAGCCGGAUUCGCUAGUAACGGCGCAUCAGCUACGGCGCCGUGAAUACGUUCCCGGGCCUUGUACACACCGCCCGUCACAUCAUGAAAGCCGUCUGCACCCGAAGUUACUGUACCAACCCGCAAGGGAGGGAUGUACCUAAGGUGUGGGUGGUGAUUC
rnacentral:rRNA from 1 species